GCUGCUGGAAACAGUAUGGUGCUAUUAAAUGUUUUCAUUGGCUGUGGUUGUGCAAAGUCAUUUCGGAAAGGAAGUUCCAUGGAACUGAGGUUGGUCCUGCUUUGUUUGACGCUGGAGGCCUGCGACCCACAGUGGUGGUCGUGGAUGCAGCGGGAGGCGGUGGAGGAGCGCCGCAUCUUCUGGUAGUUGUCCAAUUCUUCCGACAAGUCUGCCAGGUCUGCAGAAAUCUCUUUGUCCCUUAGUGAAAACAGUUCAUAAUGAGGAGGAUCAAACACUUCUUGGAACCCGGUUUUAUUAAAAGCGGUUUUGCAAGCCAUGACCUUUUUUCGAGGCUGUUUCACUUGUACUAAAAUAGAAAUAAUGAGAAGGACCAAGACAAUCCCUGAAGUAAUGCCAAUAAUUGUUCCAUGAGUCUUAGUGAUUUGUUCAAAUACUCCUGCUUUUUUCUUUUCUGCAGAAAGAAAAUGAGAAAC
rnacentral:lncRNA from 1 species